UACGAAGGGGGCUAGCGUUGUUCGGAAUUACUGGGCGUAAAGGGCGCGUAGGCGGUGUGUCAAGUCAGGCGUGAAAGCCCCGGGCUCAACCUGGGAACAGCGCUUGAGACUGGCACGCUCGAGUUCGGGAGAGGAUGGUGGAAUUCCCAGUGUAGAGGUGAAAUGCGCAGAUAUCGGGAGGAACACCAGUAGCGAAGGCGGCACUCUGGGCCGGUACUGACGCUGAGGAGCGAAAGCGUGGGGAGCGAACAGG
rnacentral:rRNA from 1 species